rnacentral:rRNA from 1 species
UACGUAGGGUGCAAGCGUUAAUCGGAAUUACUGGGCGUAAAGCGUGCGCAGGCGGUCUUGCAAGACAGAUGUGAAAUCCCCGGGCUCAACCUGGGAAUGGCAAUGGAUACUGGCAAGCUAGAGUGCGGUAGAGGGUAGUGGAAUUCCCGGUGUAGCGGUGAAAUGCGUAGAGAUCGGGAGGAACACCAGUGGCGAAGGCGGCUACCUGGACCAGCACUGACACUGAGGCACGAAAGCGUGGGGAGCAAACAGG